rnacentral:rRNA from 1 species
AGUGAACGCUGGCGGUAGGCCUAACACAUGCAAGUCGAACGGCAGCACAGUAAGAGCUUGCUCUUACGGGUGGCGAGUGGCGGACGGGUGAGGAAUACAUCGGAAUCUACUUUUUCGUGGGGGAUAACGUAGGGAAACUUACGCUAAUACCGCAUACGACCUACGGGUGAAAGCAGGGGAUCUUCGGACCUUGCGCGAUUGAAUGAGCCGAUGUCGGAUUAGCUAGUUGGCGGGGUAAAGGCCCACCAAGGCGACGAUCCGUAGCUGGUCUGAGAGGAUGAUCAGCCACACUGGAACUGAGACACGAUCCAGACUCCUACGGGAGGCAGCAGUGGGGAAUAUUGGGCAAUGGGCGCAAGCCUGAUCCAGCCAUACCGCGUGGGUGAAGAAGGCCUUCGGGUUGUAAAGCCCUUUUGUUGGGAAAGAAAAGCAGCAGGUUAAUACCCCGCUGUUCUGACGGUACCCAAAGAAUAAGCACCGGCUAACUUCGUG